ensembl:snRNA LOC120101941 U6 spliceosomal RNA
GUGCUCACUUCGGCAGCACAUAUACUAAAGUUGGAGCAAUACAGAGAAGACUAGCAUGGCCCCUGCACAAGGAUGGCACGCAAAUUCAUGAAGCAUUCCGUAUUUUU